AUUGAACGCUAGCGGGAUGCCUUACACAUGCAAGUCGAACGGAGUGGCGAAGGGGUGAGUAAUGUAACGGAAUGUGCCAAUUAGCGGUGGAUAACUACGCGUAAGCGUAGAUAAUACCGCAUACUCUUGCAGCGGCCGAUAUCGGGUUAGAGAGUGGGUGGGGUAACGGCCCACCAAGGCCACGACCCGUAGCGGGUUUGAGAGGACGACCAGCCACACUGGGACUGAGACACGGCCCAGACUCCUACGGGAGGCAGCAGUGGGGAAUGUUGGACAAUGGGGGAAACCCUGAGACAGCCAUCCCGCGUGUGCGAUGAAGGCCUUCGGGUUGUAAAGCACUUUGGGCAGGAAAGCGGUACCUGCAGAAUAAGCACCGGCUAACUACGUGCCAGCAGCCGCGGUAAUAC
rnacentral:rRNA from 1 species